GCCGCCGUAGCUCAGGGGUAGAGCGCACCCUUGGUAAGGGUGAGGCCGUAGGUUCGAUUCCUACCGGCGGCACCA
rnacentral:tRNA from 1 species